rnacentral:piRNA from 2 species
UAGGGUUUCGAUGUGCUGUGUUCU